ACUGAACGCUGGCGGCAGGCUUAACACAUGCAAGUCGAGCGGAGAUGAGGUGCUUGCACCUUAUCUUAGCGGCGGACGGGUGAGUAAUGCUUAGGAAUCUGCCUAUUAGUGGGGGACAACAUUCCGAAAGGAAUGCUAAUACCGCAUACGCCCUACGGGGGAAAGCAGGGGAUCUUCGGACCUUGCGCUAAUAGAUGAGCCUAAGUCGGAUUAGCUAGUUGGUGGGGUAAAGGCCUACCAAGGCGACGAUGUGUAGCGGGUCUGAGAGGAUGAUCCGCCACACUGGGACUGAGACACGGCCCAGACUCCUACGGGAGGUAGCAGUGGGGAAUAUUGGACAAUGGGCGGAAGCCUGAUCCAGCCAUGCCGCGUGUGUGAAGAAGGCCUUUUGGUUGUAAAGCACUUUAAGCGAGGAGGAGGCUACCUGGAUUAAUACUCUAGGAUAGUGGACGUUACUCGCAGAAUAAGCACCGGCUAACUCUGUGCCAGCAGCCGCCGUAAAAC
rnacentral:rRNA from 1 species